rnacentral:sRNA from 1 species
UAAUUAAUACAUAUCAGCAAUAAAGAAUCGGGGAUGACCCCGGCGGUUUAUUUAACUUCUGGUGUAACGAUAUGAAUACCCUACAGAGCGUAAAAUACUGGUCCUGGCUCGGCGCUUUCAGCGUGUCGAUCCUCUUCUGGUGCCAGCUUCUCUGGCUGGCGACACACUAACCCGCAAAACCUCGCUCCGGCGAGGUUUUUUGUUU